CACGUAGGGUGCGAGCGUUGUCCGGAAUUAUUGGGCGUAAAGGGCUCGUAGGUGGCCAACUAAGUCGGACGUGAAAUCCCUCAGCUUAACUGGGGAACUGCGUCCGAUACUGGAUGGCUUGAGUUUGGGAGAGGGAUGCGGAAUUCCAGGUGUAGCGGUGAAAUGCGUAGAUAUCUGGAGGAACACCGGUGGCGAAGGCGGCAUCCUGGACCAACACUGACACUGAGGAGCGAAAGCCAGGGGAGCAAACGGG
rnacentral:rRNA from 1 species